CUUGUCACACUGCUCUAAGUUUUUACAAAAGGAAUGUAAACAUAUAGUUAUUGCAUUACGUCUGUGUAAAAGCAAAUUGAGGGAACACCAGGCAUGACAUCAGCCCACAGGAAAAUGCAGUUGUGAUCAAAUCAUGCGAUAGGAACAGAAACAUCUUGGAAAUCUAUGAAAAAGACCCGGGCUCCCCUCACUUCUGCUCCCGGCCCAGCGUCACUGCGCCUGGUCCCAUUGGUCCAGUGCAAGGAGGACACUGGACGGCUUAGCUCCCCAGUAGGAGCAGCAUUUUCCCCACCGUGGUGACGGUCCCUCCUCCGGGCACAUGGUUCUCUCCUCCUCCCUGUAUCCCUUCGGCAGGAGGAGCCGAGCUGCUGCUCUGCCCAGGAGGAGCUCCCGUGCUCGCCCACCAGUCCUGCCAGUGGGUCAGCUUCCAUCACACACUGCAGUUGUUUGCUGUUUCUAACUGCUCCUGAAAGGCCCCCACUGUGCUUUGAUCCUCCAAGGCACUCACACCGAGCUUCUGUGAGCAGACAGGUGGCAGUCCGGGCGUCCAGCGGCAGGGGAGGAGGCCCCAGGUGCUGGCGGCUGUCCCCAAGGCAGGCUGGCACACUGUGGCCCAAGGGGAGCCUCUUCACAUCAACCUACAGGACCCGCCAGAGGCAGCCACCUGCCUGGAACUCUCCAGAAGCCCUCUCUCUGAACCUGGACCAGGGGCUCACCAAGAAGGCCAGUCAGACAAAGUGGACAAUUUUGCUGGUCUGGAAAAUCCUGAAAUCUGGAAACAACUGAUCUAGUGAUUAACAGAAGAAAACAUGAAUGCAAUCGGUUUGCCCAUCACUUGGCGAUAAGUGUUUUAACAGGCUCGUCUCCCACUUUAUGCGAAGACGUGACCGUGUUAGGCAGCGGGGGAAAUGGCCAGACUCGAGGAAAAUUCAACAGCUGCCCCAUUUCCAGGGCUUGCUCCCCAGGGUCCCGGAUCAGUUCCUGGGUUUUCAACUGUUCUGGUUUAGUUUACUUUGCUAAGGUCCCUCAUAAGAAGGGAAGUACAUCAAGACGUGUCGAAAAAGCAGCAAAUCUGUGAAGCAAAGCUUUUGGAUGAUCAGGAAAAAUAGCAUUCAGAUUUGAUCAACAUCAGUAUGACUUCAAAGUCUUUGUUCAAGAAAUGGGUGUCAACGUUGGUCGAGGCAUGAGAAAGACGGCACAGGAGAGUCGGUCAGAAGUGGCCCGGGUCUUCAGCCUCCGUUCCUGAGGCUGUGGUGCAGAGCUGUACGCCCUGUGCAUGCUUCUUCCUCUUGCCUAUGAGUACCUCAGGAGAGGCGUAGGCAGAUCCCGAGUGCUCGACGUUGAUUAUUUCCUGGGCUAGCAAUCUGACAACUGGAUCCACAAAGAAAACAAGGCUGUUGGUUCUCAUUCAUUCAUUCAGCAUCCUUUGGGUUCACAGCCAUCAACCGGCACAGUGUCAGGUGCCGCAGUCCCCAUUCUGGGACUCGCCUGAGAAGAGUGGCCAUCCCCCCUGGGGUCGGAUGCUUUGGGCCCCACCUCCCAUCCUCCGGAUCUGCUUCUUGCUUCAGCCCCGCUCUGGCGCCCACUGUGCCCAGUUCUGGAGGCUGGAAGUCCAAGAUCAAAGUGUCGGCAGAUGUGGUGUCUGGUGAGACCCGAUUUCUGGGUCGUGGACAGCGUCUUCUUGCUGUGUCCCUCACUUGGUGGACGAGUGUUGCAUAAAUACCUGUCGUGCACCUGGCAUACGACAGCUGUAACGCCUGCAGCUUUUGGGGGUCUGAUUCUGUUGCUGGCCGUUUCUGCCAACUCUCACGCGUGGGGCCUGCCUCCUUGUGUGGUGACUGCGAGCUCUUGGCUUGAUCUACUGGAAUCAUGAGUGCCUACAUUUGGGGUGCUUUUAUAUGGAGAGGACUGUCGUCUGAUUCAAUUGUGAGCCAAAUUGUGACUUGAAACCACGUGUUGGGGCCCCCAAGGCCACCCCCAGGUUUGGUGAUUUGCUAGGACACACAGUCAUGGGAUAUAGACAUACUCCUGGGGGGUAACUGAUUGCAGCGAAAGGACACAGAGCAAAAUCAGUGAAGAGAAAAGAUGCGUGAGGGACAUCUGGAGGACACCAGGAGCAAGCUUCCAAGAGUCCUUCAGCGGAGUCACACAGGAUGUGCUUGAUUCCUCCAGCAACGAGUUGUGACAACACAUGUGAAAUACUGCCUACCAAGGAGGCUCAUUAGAGACUCGGUGCCAGUGUUUCUGGGAGGCUGGUAACGUGGGCACCUUCUGCCUGCCUAGCACGCAUCAAAAUUCCAGACUCCCGGAGGGGAGCAUGCGUUCAGCACAAACCAUACUAUCUGUACAAACAGUUGUGGCACAGUCAGCCACUCUGAUCAGGGAUCAGUGAGAACCUGCCCCAAAUCUAAGUUCCCCGAUGCCAGCCGAGGGCCAACCCUGCAAACUUUCUAAGGAGAGCAGUCUUGUUAUGGCACCACUUUUCUGCACACUGAUGUCAGCCCCCAGCUCCCACAGAGGCCCAGCUCGAUGUGAGUGUCCAGGUCCCCACCUUGUCACUGCCCUGAGACUCAUCAUUUCUGGACAGUGACGCCAGGAGCAUCCACCCUCAGAGAGAGGAGGUACAAACACGG
rnacentral:lncRNA from 1 species